rnacentral:rRNA from 1 species
GAUGAACGCUAGCUACAGGCUUAACACAUGCAAGUCGAGGGGAAACGGCAUCGAAAGCUUGCUUUUGAUGGGCGUCGACCGGCGCACGGGUGAGUAACGCGUAUCCAACCUGCCCAUCACUUGGGAAUAACCUUGCGAAAGUAAGACUAAUGCCCAAUGACAUCCCACGAAGGCAUCCGAAUGGGAUUAAAGAUUUAUCGGUGAUGGAUGGGGAUGCGUCUGAUUAGCUUGUUGGCGGGGUGACGGCCCACCAAGGCAACGAUCAGUAGGGGUUCUGAGAGGAAGGUCCCCCACAUUGGAACUGAGACACGGUCCAAACUCCUACGGGAGGCAGCAGUGAGGAAUAUUGGUCAAUGGGCGAGAGCCUGAACCAGCCAAGUAGCGUGCAGGAUGACGGCCCUAUGGGUGGUAAACUGCUUUUAGAAGGGAAUAAAGUGGGUCACGUGUGACUUUUUGCAUGUACCUUAUGAAUAAGGACCGGCUAAUUCCGUG